GUUGCUUCUUGGCCUUUAGGCUAAGAGCAAGUGCAGUAUCUGUUCUUAUUAGUUUAAUAUCUGAUACGUCCUCUAUCUGAGGAUAAUGUAGUAAAUGGAUUUUUGAAGCAGGGAGAUGGAAUAAAAGCUUGCUCUGUACACUCCACGCAUCAAGCUGGAAUUGCUCUACUUCCAGGAAGGAUGCACCCCCA
ensembl:snRNA U2 U2 spliceosomal RNA